GUGAGGAAUAUUGGUCAAUGGGCGAGAGCCUGAACCAGCCAAGUCGCGUGAAGGAAGACGGCCCUACGGGUUGUAAACUUCUUUUGCAAUGGAAUAAAAAGAGUUACGUGUAAUUCAUUGUAUGUACAUUGCGAAUAAGGAUCGGCUAACUCCGUGCCAGCAGCCGCGGUAAUACGGAGGAUCCGAGCGUUAUCCGGAGUUAUUGGGUUUAAAGGGUGCGUAGGCGGAUUGGAAAGUCAGCGGUGAAAGUUUGCAGCUUAACUGUAAAAUUGCCAUUGAAACUGUCAGUCUUGAGUGAAAAUGAGGUAGGCGGAAUGUGUUGUGUAGCGGUGAAAUGCAUAGAUAUAACACAGAACACCAAUUGCGAAGGCAGCUUACUGGGAUGCAACUGACGCUGAGGCACGAAAGCGUGGGGAUCAAACAGGAUUAGAAACCCGGGUAGUCC
rnacentral:rRNA from 1 species